UACGGAGGGGGCUAGCGUUGUUCGGAAUUACUGGGCGUAAAGCGCACGUAGGCGGACUGUUAAGUCGGGGGUGAAAUCCUGGGGCUCAACCUCAGAAUUGCCUCCGAUACUGGCAGUCUCGAGUGCGGGAGAGGUGAGUGGAAUUCCCGAGUGAUAGAGGUGAAAUUCGGUAGAUAUUGGGAAGAACACCAGUGGGCGAAGGCGG
rnacentral:rRNA from 1 species